rnacentral:lncRNA from 1 species
GCUCCAUGGAAUAGAAAUGCACAAUUACUCUUACAUGCUAAUGCCUGUAAGACAAGAGCUGAGGAAAUGAAGUGCAUACAUGUGUCUCUCAUCUCAGGUCUGCCAAAUGACGUUGUAAUUAAUUGCAUGCAACCCUCUUUCACCCACUGAACUGGGAGUUCUUUAAAGUUAUAUGUGCAUAUCUGUGUCCUAGGGCCUAGCAUUAAGUCUGGCACGAUGUUGAUGACAAAUAAGUGUUCGAUAUGUGAAAGUACAAAUGAAUGAAAGAACCAGUGAUGCCAUCUGGACCAGAGCUGGUCUGCCUCAGACCCGGGUCCCACUUUGAGCACAUCAAACUUUGCUGUUCUGAAGGAUAAACUGGGCUAGUACCGAUUAGCUCACUAAACAAAUAUUUCUCCACUGAAGCACAUGCUUGCUCUCCCAUUUCACUCUGUAUUUACUUAUUCAUAGCCCAUAAAAAGCGGUGAGCUGGAAACAUUCAUGGUUCCUCAUUACAUUCCCCAAAGUGGGAGGUUGUUUUCCUCUCAUGUAGCAUUUUUCCAGUGUGUGAAAAUCUCUGGCCUCAAAGCACACUUGUGGGAACCCAUAAUUGAGUCUGAAAUCAUCCAACAGCAGCAGAAAGUUCUUACAGCCCUGAGAGCCUCAGGGAACCAGGACGCUUACAGAACCUUGCUGAAAAACACGGGAUCUACAGCUAAAGCCAGAAAAUCCCCAGAGACCAUCUGGACCAACCCCUCCUCUCACAGAGCAGAGAAGCAGCUCUAUGAUCCAAAAUACAAACUGAGAGAUCAUCCCAGUAACUAUUUACAGCCCACGGAUAGCAAAGAAAAGAAGUGUGUAAAGUCAAGAAAAUCUAAAUGCCGGGAGCCCAGAACAAACAGGGAAAUGGAACCCUCAGAAAAUGGUUAACUUUCCA